AAGGAAACUGGUGCACUUCAAGAAGCAAAGGACAAACUUUAAGAAACGGUCGAGGAACUCACCUGGCGUCUCCAACUAGAAAAAAGUUCGCGGACCAACCUCGAAGAAUCCAAAGCACAAGAGAUAUCAAAACUGCAGAAUUCAUUACAGGAGAUACAGGGUAAACGUGAUGAAACCAAUGCUCUGCAGGGUAAACUUGAUGAAACCAAUGCUCUGCUUGUCAAGGAGCGAGAGAAUGUAGAGAAGGUUAUCAUCGAAGCAACUCCGGUUAUCCAAGAAAAGGAGGUUAUUGUUGAAGACACUGCAAAGAUUGAUGCACUAACAGUGGAAGUUGAGAGGCUAAAGGAUUGUGGACAAGGUUAACAAUUUUAUUGGGAAAGAUCCAAAUUCAAAGAACUUAAUCGGAGUCUUAGAUAUAUACAUAUUCGAAAGUUUCAAGACGAAUAGUUUUGAGCAAUUCUGUAUGAAUUUGACUAAUGAGAAAUUGCAACAACAUUUCAACCAGGUUUAAAUCUGUCUUUUCUCUAAAUUUGAUCACUUGGUAAAAUAUUUCAAUUGACUUAGCAUUUGUACAUGCAA